rnacentral:ribozyme from 13 species
AAGAAAAUAAGAUGAUAGAUAUGAUUGAGAAUUUGGAGAAAUCCUGCGGCUUCUCGCUUUCUUUUUUUUCCAAUUCCUUCACUUUUUUUUCCGCUUUCUCUCUCUUUCCC